rnacentral:ncRNA from 2 species
GUCGGACCAGGCUUCAUUCCC